rnacentral:rRNA from 1 species
GUAGGGGGCGAGCGUUGUCCGAAUUUACUGGGCGUAAAGCGCGCGUAGGCGGUUUCUUAAGUCUGGGGUGAAAGGUUCAACGCUCAACGUGAACAGUGCCUUGGAUACUGGGAGACUUGAGUCUGGGAGGGGGUAGUGGAAUUCCUGGUGUAGCGGUGAAAUGCGUAGAUAUCAGGAGGAACACCGGUGGCGAAGGCGGCUACCUGGCCUAAGACUGACGCUGAGGUGCGAAAGCGUGGGGAGCGAACGGGAUUAGAUACCCCGGUAGUCCACGCCGUAAACGAUGAGUGCUAGGUGUAGGGGGUAUCGACCCCCCCUGUGCCGUCGCUAACGCAUUAAGCACUCCGCCUGGGGAGUACGGCCGCAAGGUUG